rnacentral:rRNA from 1 species
GACGAACGCUGGCGGCGUGCUUAACACAUGCAAGUCGAACGGAAAGGCCCUGCUUUUGUGGGGUGCUCGAGUGGCGAACGGGUGAGUAACACGUGAGUAACCUGCCCUUGACUUUGGGAUAACUUCAGGAAACUGGGGCUAAUACCGGAUAGGAUCUCCUGCUGCAUGGUGGGGGUUGGAAAGUUUCGGCGGUUGGGUAUGGACUCGCGGCUUAUCAGCUUGUUGGUGGGGUAGUGGCUUACCAAGGCUUUGACGGGUAGCCGGCCUGAGAGGGUGACCGGCCACAUUGGGACUGAGAUACGGCCCAGAAUCCUACGGGAGGCAGCAGUGGGGAAUAUUGCACAAUGGGCGGAAGCCUGAUGCAGCAACGCCGCGUGCGGGAUGACGGCCUUCGGGUUGUAAACAGAUUUCGACUGUGACGAAGCGUGAGUGACGGUAAUGGGUAAAGAAGCACCGGCUAACUACGUG